rnacentral:sRNA from 1 species
AGAGAUUUGGCUCAUGUUUUUAAAGAAAUUCAUCCUCAGUUCUUAAGUGUUUUGUUUAUGUCCCUCGAGGAAUGAAAAGAAAAACGAUUUGUUUUUACUUGUAAGGCCUUACUCAGUUGCCCAAUUCCGCAGAAGAACUGGACAGUGAGGACCUCUCAGAUUCCCGAGCAGGUGAAGAAGGCUCGAUCAGGGCAGUGGAUCACGCCGUGAUCGGUGGCGUCGUGGCAGUGGUGGUGUUCGCCAUGCUGUGCUUGCUCAUCAUUCUGGGGCGCUAUUUUGCCAGACAUAAAGGUACAUACUUCACUCAUGAAGCCAAAGGAGCCGAUGACGCAGCAGACGCAGACACAGCUAUAAUCAAUGCAGAAGGAGGACAGAACAACUCUGAAGAAAAGAAAGAGUACUUCAUCUAGAUCAGCCUUUUUGUUUCAAUGAGGUGUCCAACUGGCCCUAUUUAGAUGAUAAAGAGACAGUGAUAU